rnacentral:rRNA from 1 species
AACGAACGCUGGCGGCAGGCCUAACACAUGCCAGUCGAACGAACCUUUCGGGGUUAGUGGCGGACGGGUGAGUAACACGUGGGAACGUGCCUUUAGGUUCGGAAUAACUCAGGGAAACUUGUGCUAAUACCGAAUGUGCCCUUCGGGGGAAAGAUUUAUCGCCUUUAGAGCGGCCCGCGUCUGAUUAGCUAGUUGGUUGAGGUAAUGGCUCACCAAGGCGACGAUCAGUAGCUGGUCUGAGAGGAUGAUCAGCCACAUUGGGACUGAGACACGGCCCAAACUCCUACGGGAGGCAGCAGUGGGGAAUCUUGCGCAAUGGGCGAAAGCCUGACGCAGCCAUGCCGCGUGAAUGAUGAAGGUCUUAGGAUUGUAAAAUUCUUUCACCGGGGACGAUAAUGACGGUACCCGGAGAAGAAGCCCCGGCUAACUUCGUG